rnacentral:rRNA from 1 species
UCUGCCGUGAAAAUCCGGGGCUCAACCCCGGACUUGCGGUGGGUACGGGCAGACUAGAGUGUGGUAGGGGAGACUGGAAUUCCUGGUGUAGCGGUGAAAUGCGCAGAUAUCAGGAGGAACACCGAUGGCGAAGGCAGGUCUCUGGGCCACUACUGACGCUGAGAAGCGAAAGCGUGGGGAGCGAACAGGAUUAGAUACCCUGGUAGUCCACGCCGUAAACGUUGGGAACUAGGUGUGGGUCUCAUUCCACGAGAUCUGUGCCGCAGCUAACGCAUUAAGUUCCCCGCCUGGGGAGUACGGCCGCAAGGCUAAAACUCAAAGGAAUUGACGGGGGCCCGCACAAGCGGCGGAGCAUGUGGAUUAAUUCGAUGCAACGCGAAGAACCUUACCAAGGCUUGACAUGUACCGGAAACAUCCAGAGAUGGGUGCCCCGCAAGGUCGGUACACAGGUGGUGCAUGGUUGUCGUCAGCUCGUGUCGUGAGAUGUUGGGUUAAGUCCCGCAACGAGCGCAACCCUCGUUCCAUGUUGCCAGCAACACUUCGGUGGUUGGGGACUCAUGGGAGACUGCCGGGGUCAACUCGGAGGAAGGUGGGGAUGACGUCAAAUCAUCAUGCCCCUUAUGUCUUGGGCUUCACACAUGCUACAAUGGCCGGUACAAAGGGCUGCGAAACCGCGAGGUGGAGCGAAUCCCAAAAAACCGGUCUCAGUUCGGAUUGGGGUCUGCAAC